GUGAGGAAUAUUGCGCAAUGGAGGCAACUCUGACGCAGCCAUGCCGCGUGCAGGAAGAAGGCGCUACGCGUUGUAAACUGCUUUUACCCGGGAAGAAACCCCAGGACGUGUCCUGGGUUGACGGUACCGGAGGAAUAAGCACCGGCUAACUUCGUGCCAGCAGCUGCGGUAAUACGAAGGGUGCAAGCGUUAUCCGGAUUCAUUGGGUUUAAAGGGUGCGUAGGCGGAGCGUUAAGUCAGUGGUGAAAUCCUGCAGCUUAACUGUAGACUUGCCGUUGAUACUGGCGCGCUUGAGUGCGCUUGAAGUGGGCGGAAUGUGGCGUGUAGCGGUGAAAUGCUUAGAUAUGGCACAGAACACCAAUUGCGAAGGCAGCUCACUAAGGCGAUACUGACGCUGAGGCACGAAAGCGUGGGGAUCGAACAGGAUUAGAUACCCUAGUAGUCC
rnacentral:rRNA from 1 species